GACGAACGCUGGCGGCGUGCUUAACACAUGCAAGUCGAACGGUGAGGAGGAGCUUGCUCCUCCGAUCAGUGGCGAACGGGUGAGUAACACGUGAGUAACCUGCCCAGACCCUGGGAUAACAGUUGGAAACAGCUGCUAAUACCGGAUACGAGACGGAGAGGCAUCUCUACCGUCUGGAAAGAUUUAUCGGUCUGGGAUGGACUCGCGGCCUAUCAGCUUGUUGGUGAGGUAAAGGCUCACCAAGGCGACGACGGGUAGCCGGCCUGAGAGGGCGACCGGCCACACUAGGACUGAGACACGGCCCAGACUCCUACGGGAGGCAGCAGUGGGAAUAUUGCACAAUGGGCGAAAGACCUGAUGCAGCGACGCCGCGUGAGGGAUGACGGCCU
rnacentral:rRNA from 1 species